UGGUGGUGUAGUAGUACUACAAAGGUGAAAAAGCCAAUGGAUAAUUGGUUCGAUUUUGUUUGCUUGCUUCCAUCUCUGUAACUGGAAUCAGUGUUUGUUCACGGGUUCAUCUAGUUCUUUUGCUACCACGUGAACCAUUUUCUUUUCUUUUUCUUAUUUCUGUUGCACCUUAAUCUAUCGUCUCACCCAAUCAACCCUACCUCCCACAACCAAGUGGCGGGAGCGGAGCCAGCCACAGCCAAAUAGCAGGAGGGCCAGCUUUUGUAUACUUCUACUAAAUCCACGACAUACCUAUCACCUCCAUUAAGGCUAAAAUAGAUGAGAAGAAUUACAGUGUUUGGACAAGGUUAGGACAUAUGAGAAGAAUCACCUAGUGUUUUAUGUCAGUGUUGGAAUUCGAGUCCGAAACCUCAGAUUCUCAACUCACUUCAUUGACUACUAGGCCACACCCUUAGACGUAUGAGGAGUAUCUUGAAGCUCAUAGCAAAGGCAAAAAAAGAUCGAAUUAGUCUGUUAGUACUCUUUUGACAUUUUUCUUGUUAUAUAUUCCUUUAUUAUAGAUAAACCCAUGAAUCAUUUUAUUUUGGGUUGGAUUUCGCAACAAUUGUAAAGUGUGUCUCUGUUUCGAAAAAUUCUAUUCUAGCUUUCUUUUUGUAUUGAGAAAAGUAUUUAGCUUUCAUUUUUCUUCUCUAGCAUAAUUAAGUGGUUCCAUUUAUAUAUUUACGCCCAUAUUUUGUGAGUGACCUCAUUUGAUAUAUGUAUUCAUCAGUUGAACCUCCAUAUGUAUGAAUCAAAAGCGCCUAAGCACUUCAAUCUAAUAGUAUUUAUGGAUAAGGUGCCGGAUGGGAUCCCACCGGAUCAAUGAAUUUCUUUUAUUGAAUACAAUUUUAAAGAAUCAACAAAGGUAUUUAUGUAUAUGAAUUUCUUUAUAGUUGUAUAAUUAUUUUUUUCUAAUUGAGGUAUAAGUAUAUUUUUAUAAGAAAAUGCGUCAAAGGAACCGUGAAAAUGAAAAGAAACAGACAAUUCCACACACCGGUGGCUCCAAAGUCAAUGCUACAAGAAGGGCUGAAAUUGUGAGUGAAUUAACCUCGAAUAUAUUAUUCUUAAAUAGUAAAUUAUUGAUUAUGUUUUUUAAUUUAUAGAUGGCCGAGACUUGACAAUGGCCCGGACAAGCACAAAUGUAGAUUGCUACUCAUAUGAAUCAAGAUGGAGUAUAUGUUAAUGAAGCGGUAAAAGAAAUAUGUGAAAAAAUUGAGUCAACUUUGAGCCAAAGCGCCAUAGAUGAGUCUCAAGUUUCGCAAAAUGAUGUCGUUGGUAAGGUGCUAGGGCAAGAGCACUAUGGAAGGGUGAGAUGCUUGGGAUUAGGAGAUGUUCGUAGUAGAGUUUUCAAACAAGAUAGACCUCGUUUUGGUGGUACAAGUGCUUCAAGUAGUGGAGGUUCUUAUUCGUUCCAAUGUUGAGAAAAUUUUGCUCAAAUGAUGAAUUCUCACAAUCAAAUAAUGAGUGCUUUGAAGGCAUAUAUGAUAAUGAAAGAAGGAACGAUACCGGAACAAUUUGUGGGACUCUUUGAUUCUCCUUCAAUGAUUUCUUCCACAGCGCCAAGUGAUGCGGCUAGUGGACCCAUUUCGCCCAUGGAUGCAAGGAGAUCACGCGAUGAUAAUGAUCUUAACGAUAUUCUUUGAAUUCUUGCAUUUGUCUUGGGUAUUCAAUUAUGACGAUGUAAUUGUGUAAUUAGAGUGAAUCUUAGAAUAUUGAAGGUUUUGUGUUUACAUUUGAUUUUGGAGUUUGAACUUUGAAGAUACUAGUUAGUAUUGAAAAUUCGGAGUUUGAAGAUGUUAAUGCUGAAAAUUUAAUUUUGAAGUUUAAUGUUCAAUGUAUUUUUGAUAUUUGUCAA